UACGUAGGUGGCAAGCGUUGUCCGGAUUUAUUGGGCGUAAAGCGAGCGCAGGCGGUUCCUUAAGUCUGAUGUGAAAGCCCACGGCUCAACCGUGGAAGGUCAUUGGAAACUGGGGAACUUGAGUGCAGAAGAGGAGAGUGGAAUUCCAUGUGUAGCGGUGAAAUGCGUAGAUAUAUGGAGGAACACCAGUGGCGAAGGCGACUCUAUGGUCUGUAACUGACGCUGAGGCUCGAAAGCGUGGGGAGCAAACAGGAUUAGA
rnacentral:rRNA from 1 species